UCCGAGUUAACCCCGGCAGUCUCCCGCGAGUCCCCAACUCAAUGCUGGCAACAUAGGAUAAGGGUUGCGCUCGUUGCGGGACUUAACCCAACAUCUCACGACACGAGCUGACGACGGCCAUGCACCACCUGCACACAGGCCACAAGGGAACCGACAUCUCUGCCGGAAUCCUGUGCAUGUCAACCCCAGGUAAGGUUCUUCGCGUUGCAUCGAAUUAAUUCGCAUGCUCCGCCGCUUGUGCGGGCCCCCGUCAAUUCCUUUGAGUUUUAGCCUUGCGGCCGUACUCCCCAGGCGGGGCGCUUAAUGCGUUAGCUACGGCACAGAACCCAAAACGGACCCCACACCUAGCGCCCACCGUUUACAGCAUGGACUAC
rnacentral:misc_RNA from 1 species